UGGAAACCCAUUGUGUCACUUGGCUGCCAAUGAGGUCAGAGAGCCCCAAAUAUUCCUUACACACUGCACAGAAGGCCAGUGGCAGGAGGGUAGGCUAAUGGCAUAAAAAGAAGCUGUCUAUCCUAAUGCCCCUGAGGUAACAUAUCAGGAUGAGCAGUCACGUGUGAAUAUGACAGGAGCAGCAUUUGUGACCAUUAUAUAAUGAGAAAACACUUCUACUCUGAAAAUCAACUCAGCUAUGUCCUGUGUCUGCUCACUCAGGGAUUAAAUUACAAGCAAUACAGGUCUAUGGAAUGAAGAGAAGGGAGAUGGUAGUGCCUGAAAACAUACGCCGCAGACAGACAGUAAAGAGAUAUUUCUGUAAGGGUGAAUUCACACCACAUUUUAUAUAGCAACUGUAAACAGCUUUAUAUUAUAAAACUGUGUUGAACUGUAUUUUCAUAGACUGGCAUUACUAAAAAUUACUGGCGUAUUAAAAAGUGCUUCCAUUUUUUACGGUUGCGGUUAAGUACGUUUUUUUGCCAAAUAAAA